rnacentral:lncRNA from 1 species
GGCAGAUGAGAGCAUGAAUGAACCAAGGCACUGGUUCAGUUGGAGGUCAAGUGGAAGGUCAAGUGGGUAGGCAUGGAGAGGGCUCCCUGGAGGAAUACCCAGCUGAGGGAUGCCCAUAAAACGAUCACACUGAAGGUCUGGGUGAUGAGGCUGCAGGCUCAAGAACAACCAUAGUAGGGCUGAGUUUGACUGGGAACACAGGAUUAUCAGUCCUCAGCCUCUCAUCUCAAUAGCUUGAAUUUGUGCUUGGUCAUUGGUAACAUGGAGUAAAAAAAUGAUUGAAGUUUCUUCAGGGAUGUGUUUCUGCCUAUCCUCUGUCAGGACCCUUGAGACACCUUUGCUGUGAAUAAUGGAGAAGCAAAAGGAGUUACUAAUGAAGACAAACUAAACCUGAGAACAGAGAGAGCCUAACUAUGUGCUCCAGAAGUGCCAUGUGUGUCUAAGCUUUGCUGUGGAGUAGUCACAAGUAUUAGUUAAGAAAAUCGUCCCACCCCAUGUGUAAGUACGUUCUGAAACAGUGUAUCAUAGGCCCAGUGAUGUAGAGGUACCCAGGAGCUUCAGAUUUUAUGACUGGAUUCAACCGCUGGUCAUAAAUGAAUGACACUGACUGGAAGAGAAAGAUUUUCUGGUCCUGCAAAAAGAAGAAUAUUGGAAUUUGACAUAUUUUCAUUUACAUAAUACAAAUGAUUCCUUUGCUCUUUUGAUUUCCUUUACUUAUAUUGCUAAUCCAAAUAACAUAAAACAACACAUUGCAGCAAUUGUAUGCAUUACUGCUUUGGGAUAAAAAUCUAAUAAAGAUGGCUCCUGAUAUU